rnacentral:rRNA from 1 species
UGCGCCUUGCCAGCCCGCUCAGAAACUUAAAGGAAUUGACGGGGGCCCGGCACAAGCGGUGGAGUAUGUGGUUUAAUUCGAUGCAACGCGAAGAACCUUACCUGGUCUUGACAUCCCGGAGACCCUUAGGAAACUAGGGGGUGCUUCCAUCUGGAAGAAUCUGGAGACAGGUGCUGCAUGGCUGUCGUCAGCUCGUGUCGUGAGAUGCUGGGUUAAGUCCCGUAACGAGCGCAACCCUUGUCCUUAGUUACCAGCACGUUAUGGUGGGCACUCUAAGGAGACUGCCGGUGACAAACCGGAGGAAGGUGGGGAUGACGUCAAGUCAUCAUGGCCCUUACGGCCUGGGCUACACACGUGCUACAAUGGUCGGUACAAAGGGUUGCCAAGCCGCGAGGUGGAGCUAAUCCCAUAAAACCGAUCGUAGUCCGGAUCGCAGUCUGCAACUCGACUGCGUGAAGUCGGAAUCGCUAGUAAUCGUGAAUCAGAAUGUCACGGUGAAUACGUUCCCGGGCCUU